rnacentral:rRNA from 1 species
AUUGAACGCUGGCGGCAUGCUUUACACAUGCAAGUCGAACGGCAGCGCGGGCUUCGUCCUGGCGGCGAGUGGCGAACGGGUGAGUAAUGCAUCGGAACGUGCCCAGUAGUGGGGGAUAGCCCGUCGAAAGCCGGAUUAAUACCGCAUACGACCUGAUGGUGAAAGCGGGGGACCGAAAGGCCUCGCGCUAUUGGAGCGGCCGAUGUCGGAUUAGCUAGUUGGUGGGGUAAAGGCUUACCAAGGCGACGAUCCGUAGCUGGUCUGAGAGGACGACCAGCCACACUGGGACUGAGACACGGACCAGACUCCUACGGGAGGCAGCAGUGGGGAAUUUUGGACAAUGGGGGCAACCCUGAUCCAGCCAUGCCGCGUGCGGGAAGAAGGCCUUCGGGUUGUAAACCGCUUUUGUUCGGGAAGAAAUCCUCUGGGCUAAUACCCCGGGGGGAUGACGGUACCGGAAGAAUAAGCACCGGCUAACUACGUG